rnacentral:rRNA from 1 species
GACGAACGCUGGCGGCGUGCUUAACACAUGCAAGUCGAACGGAAAGGCCCUGCUUGCAGGGUACUCGAGUGGCGAACGGGUGAGUAACACGUGGGUGAUCUGCCCUGCACUUCGGGAUAAGCCUGGGAAACUGGGUCUAAUACCGGAUAGGAGCCAUUUUUAUUGUGAGGGUGGGAAAGUUUUUUCGGUGUGGGAUGAGCGCGCGGCCUAUCAGCUUGUUGGUGGGGUGAUGGCCUACCAAGGCGGCGACGGGUAGCCGGCCUGGGAGGGUGGACGGCCACAUUGGGACUGAGGUACGGCCCAGGCCCCUACGGGGGGCAGGAGUGGGGAAUAUUGCACCAUGGGCGCAAGCCUGAUGCAGCGAAGCCGCGUGGGGGAUGACGGCCUUCGGGUUGGAAACUCCUUUCGCUAGGGACGAAGCUGUUUGUGACGGUACCUAGAUAAGAAGCACCGGCUAACUACGUG